rnacentral:rRNA from 1 species
GAUCAUGGCUCAGGAUGAACGCUGGCGGCGUGCCUAACACAUGCAAGUCGAACGAAGCAAUUGAAGGAAGUUUUCGGAUGGAAUUCGAUUGACUGAGUGGCGGACGGGUGAGUAACGCGUGGAUAACCUGCCUCACACUGGGGGAUAACAGUUAGAAAUAACUGCUAAUACCGCAUAAGCGCACAGUACCGCAUGGUACAGUGUGAAAAACUCCGGUGGUGUGAGAUGGAUCCGCG